AGGGUUGUGGCUCAGUGGGUAGAGCACUUGCCUAACAUGUGUGAGGUGCUGGGUUUGAUUCUCAGCAGCGCAU
rnacentral:tRNA from 1 species